rnacentral:rRNA from 2 species
UCUGGUGUCAGCCGCCGCGGUAAAACCAGCACCUCAAGUGGUCAGGAUGAUUAUUGGGCCUAAAGCAUCCGUAGCCUGCUUUGUUAGUUUUCGGUUAAAUCCAUACGCUCAACGUAUGGGCUGCCGGGAAUACUGCAAAGCUAGGGAGUGGGAGAGGUAGACGGUACUCGGUAGGAAGGGGUAAAAUCCUUUGAUCUAUUGAUGACCACCUGUGGCGAAGGCGGUCUACCAGAACACGUCCGACGGUGAGGGAUGAAAGCUGGGGGAGCAAACCGGAUUAGAUACCCGGGUAGUCCCAGCUGUAAACUAUGCAAACUCGGUGAUGCAUUGGCUUGAUGCCAAUGCAGUGCCGCAGGGAAGCCGUUAAGUUUGCCGCCUGGGAAGUACGUACGCAAGUAUGAAACUUAAAG